CAUCUCUCAUUCUCUCUCAACCUCUCUGAGCUCUCUAUCUAUCUUUGAAUUUCUCUAUCUAUUUUCAUGAUUUUAUAACACGUUAUCAGCACGAUCUGCUUCUGAUCUGCGUCGGAAUCCAUCGAUCGGUUGUUCAAUCGUGUGAGAGAGUGGCAGAGAAAAAUUAAAAUAAAAAAGGACAUGGAGAAAGGCAACGUCAACGACUACCAUGUCCAUAGAUCUAGAAUUCUUACACGACUUGUC